AGGUGGCUGACCCGACCACAGAUAUCAGUUAGCAGUUGAACAGGUUCAACUCUUGGAUGGACUCAGCUCACAGAGUCCAGAUGCUGAGGAGCAGGAGAUGGAACCGCUCACCCACAAACCUUGACAGUCGUCACUGCGCUUCCUCGGGUCCUCAGCGGUACACGAGACGUUUGAAGUCGUUCAGAUGAGCGGUUGUCGAGAAAAUCGAAAGACGGACAGAUGGAGAUCUCGCCAUUUAUCUCCAUUAUGUUUUAUCUCUCUCGUGUCUCUUGGGUCUUCUUUUGUUGUGUUGUAUCUGACCGUUGUAAAUGAAUGGUGUGUGUUCCUAUGUCGCCAUGUGACACUUGUGUUACGUUGCCAUUUUUGCCGGGUCUGUCCUGUAAAAGAGAUAAUGUAUCUCAAGACACUUCCUGGUCAAAUACAGCUCAAAUUAUUAAAGGACUAAACCUCACUGACAUGAGCUUGAUACCCAUCUAAUUAGCAUAUUUCCCCAAAUGCCGAAUUAGUCCUUUAAUAAUUACAUUAAAAACAUUUUUUUUUUGAGACUGUAGUCGGCCCAUCACAGACUAAAAUAUCUCGACAAAUACUGGAUAAAUUGCCAUGAAAAUUUUGCAAAGUCAGAGUCUGUCCAACGGUUUGGCUUCUGACCAAACCCCUUCAAAACUGUCGACAGCCCCCUCCUCAGCUGUACUCUGUGUUUGCUGCUACUUAGCGAAAGAGGGUGAUCACGUUGUACCUGCUCAACAUCAGCCUGUUAGCUCAUGUUAGCAUUUAGCUCAGGCACAGCCUCACAGAGCUGCCGGCACGGCGGCGUCUUUAACUUCUCUGAAGCCCUUUGUAACGCUGCCGUGACGACACCGCGUGGAAGCAGAUUCUGUGUGAAUGUUUUUCUGAUGGCUGCACGUGUGAUGUGAGCGUCGAUGCUGAGGUGAAGUUUUCCUGCAGGAUUAAAGCGAACCAUCAUUUAACUGCUGUGAAUCCUGAUCGGCCUCCCCCCUGCACGCUGGAGCCUUGUCAGCCGCUGCCUUUGAUGUCAGUACGUUUUCUCCGGCGUCGAUGGAGGCGGAGUGGGGGCGGGGGUCGAUUUGCAUACAAAGCUAUUCUCGCCUCCUCUUUGUUCUUGUACGGAGCGUGGAAAGAGUAAUUGUCUUCAUCAGUCAGAAGCGUUUAUCUCGUCGGUUCGGUGCAGACGUGGCGUGACGUCGGGCGGCGGCAGAAAAUGCAGAAUGGAAAAAUUCCCGUGCGGGAUUAGCGCUGCAGACGCUCACGGUGUUGUGUCAGAUCGCUGCCGAACGUCUGCGGAGACAUGAAAGAGACGGCGUGUAACGGUGUGUUAACAGGGCCGACAGAAUCAGCUGAGGCUGCUUCGGAUGAAGAUGUGAAAUAAAGUGAAGGAGAAUCGGUUCACACUUUGGUUCGUUUCCUUUUUGACUCGGGAAGAAAAAAACAUCCGCCUAAGCUCACAAGUCUCUGUCUCCUUCCGCUUCCUUCAUCCCUUUCACACUUUCACCAGCUGCGUCUCACUUGCUCUCACCUAACUGCGGACUAAUAGCCGAAAGUGGGCUGAGCGCACGGUUCACCAAAUCGUUAGCUCUGUUAAGAAAUCUUUUCAUAAGCACUUCUACAUUUAAGGCUUAAAGUGAGCCAGCUUCACCUGAGUGAAACCCAACGAGAGCUGCGUAACACGCUAAUCUCACCUCCUGGUUCAGGCCCCUGCCGCUGUAGCCGAACUACGGUACCGGAGGCACCAGAAACCACUGGAGCUGCGUCGCCUGCGCAACCUGGUCUGGCUGAACACAGCAAGAGAUAUUUUUCCGAUCAGUCGAAACCGUUCUGCCGCUCCAGACUUUCCAUGUGUGCACGCUUUAAAACGGAGCUUCUAACAGACAGAGGGAGAGUUUAAACUCCUUAAAUAAAAGCACAAUAUGGAUUAAAGCUUCAUCUUAGUUGCACAAAGACUCUCUGAUUCCUGACAGUGUCGAUGAUUUUACUCUCUCGUUCCAUCAGUGCAGCUCAGAAUAACGUGAGACUUUGUAAUGACAACUGGAGAUAAAAACCAAACCCUCUGUUGUCAUCUGCUAGAAAAACAAUUCACACACAGUUAAUUAGCGCUCCCGAUCACAGAUGAAACAUCUGUCAGACUGACCUCGUCAGACACGAACUACUUUCCACCUCCUCCUCAGCGUUGGCAACAGAAACAGUCUGAUUUUACUUUAGCUUUUUUAUCUGCAUCACAUAACCACAAUGGUUUGGUUGUCAUCACAACAAAAAUAAUAAAGACAUACAUAACAAUUCCUGCACUUAAUUAUAUCCUUAGCCUUACUUCAAUGUCUUCGAUAUUUGAAAAUAAUUUCUAGCGUUUGUACAGCUCCUUAUUUGGUUGUAGUGCUGUGAUUAUAGUGUUCGCCUGUCAGCUUGUUGAAUAACGCUUCAUUGGUGCUAUAACCCGUGAGCGUCACCGUUUCCUUUCAUUAAGUCAUUAAGCGAUUCAGUCAUGGUUCCCAUGAUUGUUGCUUCUGAUGGACAACUCUCCCCUCGCACGUAGCCGAGGGAAAACCCAGACCAGAGCUACCAGAGCCUGGCGAGAACCGGUUUCAUGGCACCGGUUAUCCAGGAUACCUGAUGGUGGGCUCAGCGAAGACAGGCAACCCCAGCAGAACCGGACUGCACUGAGCUCGCUUUGUGAUACGGGCCCCCAGGGUAGAACCCAAAAUACUUCCACACACUGCUCCUCAGAUGCUUCCGAGCAGCAUGGCUUCGCUCCUCCGUUUUAAUUGAUCAGUUCAGAUCACUGGUAGGUCAGCAGGUCACGCUCCGCUUUUUUUCUCUUUUUGCUGGACGACAAGACAAACCACUUCAAACGCUCUGUCACACUUACAGACUGCUCAUCUUGAUUCUUCCCGUGAACACGGUAGAGAAGACGGUAAUUGGAGGGUCGUUGCGACAUGUUCCAGGAGCCCUGAGAACAGUUUCACAGACGAGUCUUUUACAAUAGAGGUCUGUGAGCAGCGUUGAGACGCACUAACGAUGAAGUGCACCAAGCAGCAGCUACAGUAAAGGCUGUCCACCUUCAGAUCUUUGUGUGUGUGUGUGUGUGUGUGUGUGUGUGUGUGUGUGUGUGUGUGUGUGUGUGUGUGUGGUGAGUCCCUGAGGACUCUGAAACCAAAGAAAACGAAAGAAGUUCUUCUGCCUCUGAUUAUUUUCCUCCAUGUGAAUCCACCAGGGAGCACAUGAUGCAAAGAUGUUUGUUUUUCUCUCUGAGAUGAAAAAAGUGUGUGUGUGUGUGUGUGCGUGGACCCUGAUUAGCGUCAGUGUGUUGUACACAAAGCAGACCAGCUCGUCCUUCAGUUCAUUAUCUGCAGAAAAAAGAAAAUGAGCAGCGUGUUCAAGGUGACAAACUGUUUUAUCAUGCAUGUGUUUCUGGCUCCUGUGAACUGCUUGCUAACAAACACACACACACACACACAGAAAAACACAGAAAAACACUUUCAUCUCAUAUCAUGUACAGAAUAUGAAUGAUUCCAUUUCUCUGUAUUUGUAAUGUGUAAGUAGCUGUUUGCACCGUAACUUCAUAAACUGAUUUUUUAUCAAACUGUGUGUGAAAAAUCCCUUAAUGCAGCUUUACAAAAAUAAACCAGUGGCUUGAUGUGUUAUACGUCCAUAGAGACUUAGGUUAAAUAAAGUCAAAAUCGAAGCAACAGAGGCCAACAGAUCCUGACUUUUAGCCCCUCGUGAGGGUAAAAUUCCAAAAACACCCAAUAAGAAAUACUACAUCUCCCUUAAUGCAACUGGAUAGUGUCUUUUGUUAGACCCUCCCUUCCUGGUACAUUUUAAACCUCACCCUUAGUUUGUAAGGCACCUCUUUCGUUUGUACCCAUCAUACAACUGUAGACUCGUCUUGAUGUAUUACAUUGGUGGAAUGCCCCUUUACACGCAAAUCGUAAUUAAUCAGUGUGUAAGUUGUUUUCUGAAUGUAUCAGUAAUAUGAUUAAAUAUCAUUAUAGACUA